UACGGGGGGAGCAAGCGUUGUUCGGAUUUACUGGGCGUAAAGGGCGCGUAGGCGGCCAGCGCAAGUCAGUUGUGAAAUCUCCGGGCUUAACUCGGAACGGUCAACUGAUACUGCGCGGCUAGAGUGCGGAAGGGGCAACUGGAAUUCUCGGUGUAGCGGUGAAAUGCGUAGAUAUCGAGAGGAACACCUGCGGCGAAGGCGGGUUGCUGGGCCGACACUGACGCUGAGACGCGAAAGCGUGGGGAGCGAACAGG
rnacentral:rRNA from 1 species